UCCUUUACCGCACACUAUUAGUCCUAAGGGACGAACAAAUGAAGCGAAAGAAAUUUGCCACCUUGGCAGGUGGAUCAACAAACUUCUUGUCUCUGCAUUUUUUCCAAGAAAAGCUUAUCGACUUUGAUAAAUGUGCGCCUGUACCGUAAACCGACACAGGUACGUGGGUUGAAUAAACUAAGGGGAGCGAGAUAACUCUCUCUAAGGAACUCGGCAAAUUGGCUCUGUACCUUCGGAAGAAAGAGUGCCCUUGCAAAAGGGCCGCAGUGAAGAGAUCCAGGCGACUGUUUACCAAAAACACAGGUCUCCGCAAAGUCGCAAGACGAUGUAUGGGGGCUGACACCUGCCCAGUGCCAGAAGGUUAAAGAAGUUGGUUCGUUUCGACAAAGCUGACGACUGAAGCCCUGGUGAACGGCGGCAGUAACUAUAACUGUCCUAAGGUAGCGAAAUUCCUUGUCGGGUAAGUUCCGACCCGCACGAAAGGUGUAACGAUCUGGAUACUGUCUCAGAGAGAGGCUCGGUGAAAUAAAAAUAUCUGUGAAGAUGCGGAUUACCUGCACGCGGACAGAAAGACCCUAUGAAGCUUUACUGUAACCUGGAAUUGCUCUCAAGCUUAUCUUGCGCAGCUUAGGUGGGAGGCUAUGAACCUUUUCUUCUGGGAAGAGGGGAGCCAUCAGUGAGAUACCACUCUUGGUAAGCUAGAGCGCUCAGUCUUCACCGUCAUCCGGUAAGACGACAGUUUCAGGCGGGCAGUUUGACUGGGGCAGUCACCUCCCAAAAGGUAAUGGAGGUGUACAAAGGUUCGCUCAGGCUGGACGGAAAUCAGCCAUAGAGUGUAAAAGCAUAAGCGAGCUUGACUGCGAGACUGACAUGUCAAGCAGAGACGAAAGUCGGUUUUAGUGAUCCGACGGUGCUGAGUGGAAAGGCCGUCGCUCAACGGAUAAAAGUUACUCUAGGGAUAACAGGCUAAUCUCCCCCAAGAGUUCACAUCGACGGGGAGGUUUGGCACCUCGAUGUCGGCUUAUCGCAUCCUGGAGCGGAAGUACGUUCCAAGGGUUGGGCUGUUCGCCCAUAGAAAGCGGUACAUGAGCUGGGUUCAGAACGUCGUGAGACAGUUUGGUCCAUAUCCCGUGUAGGCGUUUAGAACAUUGAAAGGAUCUCCCCUUUGUACGAGAGGACCAGGUGGGGACAAUCCGCUAGUGUACCAGUUAUCCCGCCAGGGGUAAACGCUGGGUAGCUAUGAUUGGAGUAAAUAACUGCUGAAAGCAUAUAAGUAGGAAGUUCACCUUAAGAUG
rnacentral:rRNA from 1 species